CAUCGAGUGGUCUGAUGGGAAGCAAGGGAUCAGUAGUCUGACCCCUAGCGUUCCCCCUUCUUCCCUCGAUCCCCAACGCCCCCCGAUCCUAUCGCCGCCGCUGCCUACCACGCCUCCUACCGGCGUGCCAGCACCAACGCCUCCUUCCCGGCGCACCGUCGUCCCCGCCUCCUCCCGGCACGAGGCCGCCUCCAGACUCCUCCUGGGACGCCGUCGCCCCCGCCUUCCUCCUGGCGCGCCGCCGCCCCUGUCUUCUUCAACUGCCACCAUGGACCACCACCUCUGCCCCGAUCCACCUUGGUAGUGGAUCCUGAGCGCCGUCGCUGACCAUGGAUCCUGGGCGCCGCCGCCUGUCUUUGGAUCCCGCCCGCCGCCGCCGGGGUCCCCGACUGAAGACGACCAAGCCAUGGAUCCUGGGUGCCAUCGCGGGCCGUGGAUCCCGGGGCGGCACCGCCUAGCUCUGAUCCCGCCGGCCGCCACCGAGGUUCCCGACUGAAGAUGCCCUAUGCCGCGGCACUCAGGCCAUUCGCCACCGCCACCUCUUGCAGUUCACCGCCACCAUCCAGCGCGCCCCCGGUCGCCCCCAGGACGCCAGGAACCACCUGACUCCCCUGGUUCGCCUACAUCGUGGGAUCACUUCGCGUCGGUUCGCGAGGCCACAACCCCUGCCCUCCAAUUUCAUCACUUUUUUGUGUUUGUCCUCUGAAAAAAUUGGCCAUCGUUGCAGGCUAGCUUCACCAGAUUAUUCAGUUCAGCUCUAAACAAAUGAGCAUUAUACUUUGUUGUCCAGUUUUGGGAAGGUUGAAAUUGUUCCAGAAGGUGAAAAAUAUGUCCAAGUAUAUCAGCAGCUUUGGGAAGGUAGAAAUUGUUCCAGAAGGUGAAAAAUAUGUCCAAGUAUAUUUUCUAGAACACCGACACUCUCUGGACAUCAUUGGUAUAUGCUACAAUUAUCCCUCGAGAUCGAUGUUAUCAACCACUAUCAAAUAUUCCCUGGACAUCAUUGGUACUACUAAUCUCCACAUAUAUGCACAACUAAGUGCAAUCAGUCUGUUCUGAACACCUGCAGCAGGCAUGGCCUCAUGCUACAGUUCAACUUUCAAGUAAAUUCUACUACUCCUAAAGUUCAGGGAAUAUUUGAUAUCAGUAAUCAGUUAGUAACUGACAUGAGUUUGUUAGUUACCUGUUACAGAGAGCCUGACAGGACUUCCUCCGCCGACAGACACUGCACGCCAUGAGAAAGUUCAGGGAAUAUUUGAUAGUGGAAGCUACACUGUCACUGUGCACCACAGCUGAUAAAGUUUCUCCAAUAAUGCUGCACCUUUUAUUUCCUCAUCAUCUGCCUUUCUCCCAAGCUUUUAGUAUUUCUUUUGCAUGCCAGAAUGGCUGGAGCGCAAAGUGAAGCCUGAAGCCAACCUGUGUUGUGAGCAUCAGUAGCUAGUCACGUGCUGCGCUGGGCCAACAAAACAGCUUGCAGUUUUGUUCAUUUCAAGGCGGUUAGGUGGGGUGGGAAUCCUAUUUAUUCAGAUGCGCUUGUACCAACACUAAUUAUUUUGAUUGACGUGAUAGUACUAAUCUACUGACAUGGUCCGGGAAAGGCCACUACAGUGACUAAAUUUAACCAGGGAUUCGCACUUUUGUGGCGCUGCAGAGAUCACAUCGUUUUUUCUAUGUUCAUCGUCAGAGUGCGAAUGGGAACUCCCACAUGUAAAGUUAGUACACAAGCACCGUGUAGUGUUAAAAACGCUUUUACAUUACAAGACGGAGGGAGGGAGUAAGAAAGUUGCUUAGAAGAGAUGCUUAAAAGAAUAAAUCAUUGGUAUAUUUUCUAGAACACCGACACUCUCUGGACAUCAUUGUUAUAUGCAUGCCGAUGUUAUCAAUCAACUUUAACAUAUAUGCUACAACUAUCCCUCGAGAUGGAACUGUUGUAGUAGACUUGUAUCCAUGCUGG
rnacentral:rRNA from 1 species